UGAUUGUAUGUGCUAAUUCGGUGACUUUGUUCCUUGCAGCAUAAAGCUCCUUGCAUUGAGGAACUUGAGGAUAAGAUGCAGAAGCUUCACAAAGAACGAGCAGCAGCCAUCUUAGAAAGGAGAGCUGCCAAUAGUGAUGAUGACAUGAAGGAACUAGUAGCUGCUAUAAGUGCUGCAAAUCAAGUUCUAAGUAAAGGAGGUGGUAAUGCAGAAACAAUAAAAGCUGUGGCAGCUACUGCUCUAGCUCUAAGAGCAGCUGUGAGGGAAGGAGGGGAUUUUCCAGUCGAGCUAGAUGAAUUCAGUAGAGAUGGGAAUAUGCAAAAUCAGAUGGAUGUGAGCAGAAGGGCAAACGCCCAAGAACGCAGGAGAGCAAGAAAUGGUGUUAUUAGAUGCCAGCUAUAGGAAAUGAUAGAUCCUAUCCGCCAAUAGAAGGAGAAUUAGACACUGAUGAAAGUGACACCGAGAGCAAUGCGUAUCGGUCUCAGCGAGAUCAAUUGCUUCACUCUACUAAAGAGAUUUUUGGUGAUAAACAUGAAUACUCUGAAUUUUCCAUAGUUGUGAGAUAGAUGGAAGAAAGAUUAUACUUCAAGCUAUCGUGAUGCACAUGUGUCCCUUUGUAUACCUGCUAUUUUCUAACCCUAUGUGAGGCUGGAGCUUCUGAAGUGGGAUCCUCUACAUGAAAAUGCAGAUUUCAUGAAUAUGAAAUGGAUAUGAACAGUAACUUGUGAAAGAUGUACGUGUCGAACUCUUUAGUUUGUGACAACUGGUGGUGAGAAAUGCAACGGCUACUACAAAUUCCAAGCUAGUCAGGUGAGGCCGGUUAGUUUGUGACAGUGGGUUAAUAUUAGCAUUUCAGAAAAAGAUUUGGCGUGUACAAGUCCUUUGUAUGCUAUUAAUAAGGUCAUUUUGAGAUGGAGGCUGGUAAUUCGUUAAUUUUCUUAACAUCGAGUUUGAAAUUGAUCGAUGUUAUCGGUUAUGCUUAUUUUUUCUAUUUUUACUUUUGACACCAUCCGUUAAGUUUAUUAUUGACUUUAUCUAGGA